rnacentral:lncRNA from 1 species
UGUACCAGAAGACCCCCUUGCGGUCCUCGGGCUCAACGUAGAUGCACUCCUUGGCCUCGCGCCAUGUGGCCUUGGCGACCGGGGUGCCGUCAAACUGGUAGUACUCGCCGAGGAUGGGCUUGAUCGCCUUGGUGGCCUCCAUGGCGUGGUAGUGCGGCAUGUUGGAGAAGAGGUGGUGCGCCACGUGCGUGUCCGUGAUGUUGUGGAACACGCGGUUGAGAAUGCCGUAGUCCCGGUCCAUGGUGGCGAGCGCCCCCCGCAGCCAGUCCCACUCCGUCGAGUCGUAGUGCGGCAGCGCUGGGUGGGUGUGCUGCAGGUAGGUGAUCAGGACCAGCCACGCGUUCACGAUCAGCAGCGGCACGCCGUAGACCCGCACCACCCACCAGAACCCAAACGACGACACAAGCUUGAGCAGGGCCAAGGAGACGGCCAACACGCCGACAUCCGAGAUGAAAAUCUGGGCUCGCUCCCGGUCGUUGUAGAUCGGGCCGUAGGGGUCGAAGUGGCAG